rnacentral:lncRNA from 1 species
CGCUCCCACCCCCCUACCCCUGCUCUCUAAGGGCCAGGAAUGCAGCGCGGUGCCUGAGCUGCCGCCUCCCCCCGCAUUCCUUAGCACCGCCUGCCGCGACCAGGCCGCGCCACUGACCCCGCCGCCCGGCCAUAAAAGCCACUUUCCAAAAGAGGACGCUUCGGGGCCGCGCGGGAGACGCAGCUCCCUCCCUCCCCGGCCGUGCCCGACUCGGGUGGGGUGGGGGGGCGGCGUCGGGGCCCCAGGGCCGGGUGUCUCCUUUAAGCCGGGAGUACACAUUCCCAUCCCUCGCGUCCCUCCCUGCCUCGCCCGGCCUGACGUCAGGAGGGAGGCGUGUGCGAGUGAGUGAGGGGCCCGCGCCGCACGCUCACACACACUCACUCACGCACGCCGGGCGCGCAGCCCGCAGCCCCGUCCCCUGCCCGCAGCCCCGGCGCCCGGAGCCCCCAGGCGGGCGGCAGCAGGCGGCAGGCCCCGCGCGGCCAGGGAGAGCUCGUUGUUUCCCUUGCUGUGCCAGCCUGUCACAUCAGCUCGCUGUCUUGCUCGUCUUCUUUAGGAGCCACUGGGAACCAAACCUGGAACCUUCCAUGUGGUAG